UACGAAGGGGGCUAGCGUUGCUCGGAAUUACUGGGCGUAAAGCGCACGUAGGCGGCUUUCUAAGUCGGGGGUGAAAUCCUGGAGCUCAACUCCAGAACUGCCUUCGAUACUGGAAAGCUCGAGUCCGGGAGAGGUGAGUGGAACUGCGAGUGUAGAGGUGAAAUCCGUAGAUAUUCGCAAGAACACCAGUGGCGAAGGCGGCUCACUGGCCCGGUACUGACGCUGAGGUGCGAAAGCGUGGGGAGCAAACAGG
rnacentral:rRNA from 1 species